AUUGAACGCUGGCGGCAUGCUUUACACAUGCAAGUCGAACGGUAACAGGCCUUCGGGUGCUGACGAGUGGCGAACGGGUGAGUAAUGCAUCGGAACGUACCCAGAGGUGGGGGAUAACGCAGCGAAAGCUGUGCUAAUACCGCAUGUGAUCUGAGGAUGAAAGCGGGGGACCGAGCAGCAAUGUUUGGCCUCGCGCCUUUGGAGCGGCCGAUGUCGGAUUAGCUAGUUGGUGGGGUAAAGGCCUACCAAGGCGACGAUCCGUAGCUGGUCUGAGAGGACGACCAGCCAAACUGGGACUGGGACACGGCCCAGACUCCUACGGGAGGCAGCAGUGGGGAAUUUUGGACAAUGGGCGCAAGCCUGAUCCAGCAAUGCCGCGUGCGGGAAGAAGGCCUUCGGGUUGUAAACCGCUUUUGGCAGGAACGAAACGGUGUCCGCUAAUACCGGGCGCUAAUGACGGUACCUGCAGAAUAAGCACCGGCUAACUACGUG
rnacentral:rRNA from 1 species